AAACUAAAAAAGGACCCAUGAGAUAAAGAGGCCUUCAAAGAGAGGAAUGGGAGAACAACACAGCGUGUAAUUUGAAAGUGGAUGAGGGAUGCCUUUAAUCCCAGCACUCGGGAGGCAGAGGCAGGACCAAGCCUAGGGAAUUGUGCCACCCACAGUAGGCUGGUUUUCCCUGUAUCAAUUAACAAUCAAGACAAUCUCCCAUAAACAUGCCUGCAUGACAACCUGAUGCAGAAAAUUCCUCAUGAAGACUCUCUUUCCAGCCACCCGCAAGCAUGUCAAGAGGCAAGCAUGUCGAGAAAAGGAUCGUUAAUUGUGCCAAGAUCCUCAGCAGUGUCCCAUCAUCCACCAGGCCCUCCCGCUCCUGAGCAGCCUGGGCUGCAGGUCUGACAGACCUUUGCAGAACAAAAUCCCCUGUGCCCACCACUGCUUCUGCUCUCCCAGAAACUCUUUCUGAGAAGUCGUAUCUGGGAAGGCUUGGGCUGGGUCAUCCCUGAGUCAUCCUCCCUGGACGCAUAGUUCUCAACAUUCCUAGCACUUGGAAGAAGACAGGGACAGGGCUGGGUAUCUGCCAGGCUGGGAAUCCAACCCAAGUCUUCUGGAAGAACAACCAGUGCUCUGAAAUCAUUGAGUCAUCCUUCCAGUCCGACAAGAGCUAAUUAGAAAAGUUACAGGAUCUGCCCCAGACCUCAUCACAGGGCAAGGUAAUGGUGCCUCUAGAGAAUCAAUCUGGAGUGGUGGGACCCAGAGCCAAGGCUGCGCCACCGCCUUGUAGGACCUGCUUCUUCAGCCUGACCAUCCUGUGUGUCCCAGCUUGGAGUGGUACCAAGCACACAGCAUCUACCCCCUACCAUCAUUA